CCUACGGGCGGCAGCAGUGGGGAAUAUUGGACAAUGGGCGAAAGCCUGAUCCAGCCAUGCCGCGUGUGUGAAGAAGGCCUUCGGGUUGUAAAGCACUUUCAGUGGGGAAGAAAGCCUUGGGGCUAAUACCCUCGAGGAAGGACAUCACCGACAGAAGAAGCACCGGCUAACUCCGUGCCAGCAGCCGCGGUAAUACGGAGGGUGCGAGCGUUAAUCGGAAUUACUGGGCGUAAAGCGCGCGUAGGCGGUCUGAUAAGCCGGUUGUGAAAGCCCCGGGCUCAACCUGGGAACGGCAUCCGGAACUGUCAGGCUAGAGUGCAGGAGAGGAAGGUAGAAUUCCCGGUGUAGCGGUGAAAUGCGUAGAGAUCGGGAGGAAUACCAGUGGCGAAGGCGGCCUUCUGGACUGACACUGACGCUGAGGUGCGAAAGCGUGGGUAGCAAACAGGAUUAGAUACCCGGGUAGUC
rnacentral:rRNA from 1 species